rnacentral:rRNA from 1 species
GACAGAGGGUGCAAACGUUGUUCGGAAUUACUGGGCGUAAAGCGCGUGUAGGCGGCCAUCUAAGUCGGGCGUGAAAUCCCACGGCUCAACCGUGGAAGUGCACUCGAAACUGGAUGGCUAGAGUCCUGGAGAGGAAGGUGGAAUGCUUGGUGUAGAGGUGAAAUUCGUAGAUAUCAAGCGGAACACCGGUGGCGAAGGCGGCCUUCUGGACAGUGACUGACGCUGAGACGGCGGAAAGCGUGGGGAGCAAACAGG